ensembl:lincRNA
AUCAAAGGACCUCUAUAAGUUAGAUUUGGCAAGCUGCAGGAGACAAAGAUGGACUACACAUAGUUUGGGUCUUUACAGUGCUCAUAAUACAGUAGAGCUGUGCCUACUGAAUUUCUGUAUUUUUCCAACAGAAUUUCCCUAAAAAUGCUUUUUUUUUUUUUUUUUUUUUUUUCGUUUAUCCACUUGUCCACUUAACAAAUAACUGUCAGGUAUCUUUAAGGUACUAAGCAUCUUCCUUGUUAUUAUCAUUGUCAUUUUUUAUUUGCUUCUUUAUUAAGGUACUAAGCAUUUUUUCCUGUUAUUGUCAUCUUUUUUAUUAUUUAUUACUUUAUUUAGUGCUUACUCUGUGCCAGAACUCCUUUGAGAGCUUAUAAUUAUUACUUAUUAUGUCAUGUUGUUACUGUAUUCAGCAUGUGUCAGACAUUUUAUAUCCAAGGUGAAGAAUUAAAGCUUUAAAAAGUUUGAUAGUGUCCAGGCGCAGUGGCUCACUCCUGUAAUCCUAGCACUUUGGGAGGCCAAGGUAGAUGGAUUGCUUGAGCUCAGGAGUUUGAGACCAGCCUGACUAACAUGGUGAAACCCAUCUCUACUAAAUAUGAAAAAUUAGCCGGGUGAUGUGGCCUGUGCCUGUAAUCCCAGCUACUUGGGAGGCUGAGGUAAGAGGGUCACUUGAUGUGGGAGAAUUGUUUGAAUUGCAUUGAGCUGAGAUCGCGCCACUGCACUCUAGCCUGGGUAACAGAGCAAGACUCCAUCAAAAAAAAAAAAAAAAAAAAAGAGAGAGAGAAAAGAAAAGUUUGGUAAUAUUUAAGGAAAGCAUACAGAAUGAGUAGAAGUUUGCCAGGUGAAGAGUCAGGAGGAUGAUAUUAGCAGAAAGAAAAUUUAACCAGAUUGCAUGUUUGGCAGAAGGAACACCUGCAGGAACAACUGAUGAGGCUGCACCCUUGGCGGAAAGAACUCCUGACAUGGCUGAAAGCUUGGUGGAAAGACCACCUGAUGAGGCUGCACCCUUGGUGGAGGGAACAUCUGACAAAAUUCAAUGUCUGGGGAAAGCGACAUCUGGAAAGUUUGAACAGUCCUCAGAAGAAACACCUAGGAAAAUUAUGAGGCCUACAAAAGAAACAUCUGAGAAAUCUGAAUGGCCAGCAAAAGAAAGACCUAGGAAGAUCACAUGGGAGGAAAAAGAAACAUCUGUAAAGACUGAAUGCGUGGCAGGAGUAACACCUAAUAAAACUGAAGAUUUGGAAAAAGGAACAUCUAAGAUGAUUGCAUGUCCUACAAAAGAAACAUCUAUAAAAGCGAGUACAAAUGUGGGUAUGAGUUCUGUAGAGCCUAAAAUCAGUCUUCGUGGCAAACCGACUAUUGAAAAUUCACAGUCUACAAAAGUUGAGGAAGACUUUAAUCUUGCUACCAAGGUAAAAUGGUCUCUUGUGAAGUUGAUUUUCUCAGUUGGAAUCUAGUUCUGUAUAGUAUUUACUUUUCAUGGUUAGCAGUGGUAUAAGUAUCAUUAUUUCAUGUUGGUAAUAUAAAGUUGGUCAGAUAAAAACAUUUUAUAGAAAUAUGAGUUGUUGAUGUAAAGAGUUUUUUUCUUUUUUUUUUUUUUUAACUUCAGUAAAUAACAAAUCAUUGGUAAAUACUUUGAGGGUGUGAGGCCAAAAUAUGGAAUGGGCUGGAGAAACAGGAACAUUAUACUAGAAAAAACUUUUCCACAAUAGAGAAUAUAUAAAAUCUGGUAAAGGUUUAUUUGCAUAAGUAUACUUAUUGUGACUUUUAAAAUUAUUCUAUUGUAACUUAAAACAAAACUCAUGCUUAAAUUUAUCUUAAUGGAUCCAGUUACUUAUUAUUGUAAUCACGGAAUCUCUCUGAUACUGUUCAGUUCCGAAACUGUGCCACAUAGCAUAUAGGUUUUUUCUUUGGCACUUAUUAUUUUGAUAUCUCGUAGUUUUUAGGAGAGAGUUUUUUCUCAGUUUCUCUUGUUGGUUCUUUAAUUACACCAAAAUAAUAUUAGAAAUUGUGAAAAUUUAUUUGGGCAUGCUGGUGCAUGCCUGUAGUUCCAACUACCAAGGAGGCUGAUGCUUGAGCCCAAGAGUUUGAGACCAGUGUGGGCAACAUAGCGAGACCUUAUCUCUAAUUUAAAAAAUAAUGGUAGAAAUUUAGAAAUGUAAAUUCUCUUUCUCAGAGUCUGUAUUAUUAAGGCAUGCCAGUGUGUUUUCUAAGUUAUUUCAUUAAAGGUAGACUUUAAACUCUUCAUCUAAACGAAGAAUGCAGGUUUUACCCCAAGUAAACAACAAUUUUGGAAGCAGAGACUCUUAAUAAGCCUAUAGUAAGAUUUUAAUUUCGGAAUUUUUAAAUUGCAGUUUUUAAAUAUAUGGUUCAAAGAUCUUUGAUCUCAUUUGAAAAUUUUAAAUUUCAGAAGAUUUUGUGUUCAGUUAUUUAAAUAAUCAUUUUGGAGCUCUUGCAUCACUAUGAGAUACCGCAGGUUAGAAAACACUUGUGUGCAUCCUAGUGUACCCAGAAUACAGCCUGGCAUAUAAAAAGCAUUUUAAGAGGUUUUCAAUGUGAAUAAAUGAGCAGACAAAUGAAUUUUUAUGUAAUGGAAUGUUACAAGUAAGAUAAUAUGCAUAAUAUAUCUUAUAAUUAAAUCUAAGGCAUUUCUAAAAUCUGGCUUAAAUUUAUAUUUUCUUUUAAUAUUUACAAUGCAUAAAUUCAUGUGACUUAUCUUGAGAAAAUAUGUCUCAGAUAAGAAGACAAUCAGAGAUACGUAGUAAAUAGGAAAGAAGUUUACACUAUAUUUUCUAGUAUCCUCCAGUGGAGUUUAGAAUAAAAAAAUUUUAAUAUAUUUUAGUCUCAACUCAUGUUCUUUUUUUUUUUUUUUUUUUUUUUGAGACAGAGUCUCCCUCUGUCAUGCAGGCUAGAGUGCAGUGGUGUGAUCUCGGCUCACUACCUUCUCUGCCUCCCGAGUUCAAGCAGUUCUUCUGCCUCAGCCGCCUGCGUAGCUGGGACUACAGGCGUGUACACCACACACAGUUACUUUUUGUAAUUUUAGUAGAGAC